GAUGUACAACGACGUAUCGUGACGUACAACGACAUACCACAACAUACGACGGCGUAAACCGGGCCGACGAACCAAUGGUUCGUCUAUUUCCAGCCACCACCCCCCCCAUGGCUGUGCUAAAUCGCAGAUGGAACAUCUCGUUUUGGCAAGGGUGUCCAGGGUGUCAGGUGACGAGACACCAAACAGCACCAAAUGGCCGAGACUCUCACCUCGUCACUCUUCCGCCGCUGGUUGUCAACUCCUUCUUCACCUCUUACCGAGUCGCACUUCCUUCAGCUCGUCCACUCCUCAGCGAUCAAAUCCUCUCGAGUACUCCUCCUCCUCCUCGUCGUCACCCCCACAGCGCAAUGUUCACGCAGCCACACGUCCCGGAUACGGAUGAUGUCCGUGAUGAUGAUGGUGGUGGUGUUUGUUGUUGUGGUUGGUGACGAUGGUCGUGUAAAACGGUGCCUGUGGCAGACACCGAUUACUGAUGGUCGUGUCUGUUGUUAAUAUUACUCCCGUGUCGCGAUGAUAGUCGACGUUAGCGAUUAGCCGUUAUCGGUAAGGUGAUGUAAUGGCAGUGUUAUUUAAGGCGCUGGUGAUACCGUUGC